rnacentral:lncRNA from 1 species
CGAUGCAUCUCUCAGUCUCUGUAGGCAUCUUUGCAAAGAAACAGCUCUCAACUCUCCAAAGCUGAAUUCCUUUCCUUCAUGAACACAGAGCUGGCUGCCUUUACAAAGAACCAGAAGGACCCCAGUGUCCUUGACCACAUGAUGAAGAAGCUGGACCUCAACUGUGAUGGGCAGCUAGAUUUCCAAGACUUUCUCAACCUCAUUGGCAGCUUAGCUAUAGCUUGCUGUGAUUCCUUCCUCCAAACGUCCCAGAAGCCUAUCUAA